rnacentral:rRNA from 1 species
AAACCANCAGGGAUUGCCUCAGUAACGGCGAGUGAAGCGGCAACAGCUCAAAUUUGAAAUCUGGCCUCUGGCCCGAGUUGUAAUUUGUAGAGGAUGUNUCGGNCNUGGUCCGGUCUAAGUUCCUUGGAACAGGACGUCAUAGAGGGUGAGAAUCCCGUAUGUGACCGGGUGCCUAAGCUCAUGUGAAACUCCUUCAACGAGUCGAGUUGUUUGGGAAUGCAGCUCAAAAUGGGUGGUAAAUUUCAUCUAAAGCUAAAUACUGGCCAGAGACCGAUAGCNCACAAGUAGAGUGAUCGAAAGAUGAAAAGCACUUUGGAAAGAGAGUUAAACAGCACGUGAAAUUGUUGAAAGGGAAGCGUUAACAAUCAGACUUGCGCGCGGUUGAUCAUCCNGUGUUCUCACCGGUGCACUCGAUCGCGCUCAGGCCANCAUCAGUUCUGGUGGUUGGAUAAAGGCCGUGGGAAUGUGGCUCUUCNGAGUGUUAUAGCCCACGGUGCCAUACAGCCUACCGGGACUGAGGACCGCGCUUCCCCAAUGAAGCUGGCGUACUGGUUGUCAACAC